AGCGGAGUAGUUCAGGGGUAGAACUACAGAAUCAUAAUCUGUAUGACGGGGGUUCAAAUCCCUCCUCCGUUA
rnacentral:tRNA from 1 species